AUGCUGAUGCUGAUGCGCCCCCCUCUCCAACUAACGUGCAGGUUCAUUUUUAGAUCAGGAAACAGCCAGCGGCGGGGUGACCACACACCGCAGGGGGAAACUACACGAGAUCUUUCCAACACGCCGCAUCAUUUGCAGCAACUCCUAGAUCGGGAAACUUCCUUCGGCAAGCCCUCAAACACGGCAAAGGAAGCUAAGUUGAUCACCAAAGACACCAUGAACAUCAAGAACAGAACAGAGCUCGGCUCAGUUUCGGACGUGCGUUGCGUACAAAAUUCAUUUUCAUUCUCAUUGGAGCAGCUAACAAAGUCCGGCCCGCGCUUAUUUUGA
rnacentral:rRNA from 1 species